GCCUGGGCUGCAGUUCAGUGGCUGAGCAUCUGCUUUGCAUGCAAAAAGGUCCUAGGUUCAAUCCCCAGCAUCCCCAGCUAGGCA